CGUGAUUCAUGGCGGGUGGCGGUCAGCUGAGGGCAAUACCCCGGGGAGGAGAUGUGGCCCCCAGUGACGGAUGGAUCCCGAACAACGUUGCAGCAGCCCAGGGACUGAGUGGAGUGACAGCAUUCUUUCCUGUGACCCUGGGACAUGCUGAUUUCUUUCCAAGUAUCUAGAUGCCCUCUCAGCUGGUGUCAUCAGGUAUUUCUUGGCAUGGCAGGACACAACAGAUUGGAACUGUCACAGGGUCACAGUUCCCUGAAGUUAAAAUAAUACAGUCAACUGUGAGGAACAACUGUUGUUACUGAAUCCAGAGAGAAACAUCUCCCG